CUGUACUAUAUAUCUAUGGUACCGGAGCUUUGGUACUAUAGUUUUAUUUUUAAUUUUAGAAUGUUCAAACCAAUAAUCUACACGGUUAAAAUUGAUCUAAGAUAUUUGAAGUUUUUAAAAAUAAAAUGUUAUAUUUUUUUCGACAUAGUUUACUUUAUGAUCAAAUCGUUUCAAAAUUAUCAAAUUUUAAUGGCUACUAUUGCGAGUUUGUAGUUUAUUGGUAUAGGAAAAUUUAGAUUUAUUUAUAUUUUGAUAGAAAAUAUUUUAAACUAUCUAUAUCAAGGUCAGCAUCCUUAAUGUUAAAUUCUAAAAUCCUAUGCUCAAAUUUUAAAAAUUGUUCAAUUUUCGUCGUUUAUUUUGACAUAAUUUACUUACUAAGUAAACGAUAUCGAAAAAUACUAAAAUUUUAUUUCUAAGAUCUUCAUAUACCCUAGAUAAUAUUUAACGGUAUGGAUCGUUAAUUUGAACACCAUAAGAUUGAAAACAAGACUAUAGUAUUGGAGCUCCGGUACUAUAGAUAGUAUAGCAGCCUAAUUCUAUAUAUAUAUAUAUAUAUAUAUAUAAAGAUAUAUAUGAGUCUAGCUACUAUACUAUUAUAAGUAUAGAUUUUUUUAUAUUCAUCAGUUUUCAGCUGUUAGAUCUAUCACUUUGACCAUUUUCAUUCGAUAGAUCAAGAUUAUACUAUUCAAUCAAUCACCAACUCCACUCUAGGAGAUUAUUAUCAUCUUAAUCGCAUAUCUCUUCAUUCAACGGCUGAAAACUUCGGAAACAAAAGAAUCUAUAUUCAUAAGAGUAUAGUAGCCCUACUGCCCUAACCAUGUAUUUAGAGUCCGGCUAAUAUAUUCUUAUAAGUAUAAAUUUUUUUACACUCAUAAAUUUUCGCCCGUUAUUUUUUUUUUUU
rnacentral:lncRNA from 1 species